rnacentral:lncRNA from 1 species
AAUAUAAAAUAUUAAAUUUAAAUUUAAAAAUAAAUAAUAUAACAUUCGAUCCAAACCUUACUCAUUGCGGUCCUUAGUCUCACGUAAAAUUUCUCUUUCGAAUGCCCUCUGAAUUGCCAAGACAAACUCCCACGAUCUCGUGUAAAUUUAUUUGAAAAGAUGGACGGUAGAUCUUACUUACUCGCAUAGAAUUUCACAUGCAC